AUUGAACGCUGGCGGCAGGCCUAACACAUGCCAGUCGAGUGGAUGAAGGGAGCUUGCUCCUGGAUUCAGCGGCGGACGGGUGAGUAAUGCCUAGGAAUCUGCCUGGUAGUGGGGGAUAACGUCCGGAAACGGGCGCUAAUACCGCAUACGUCCUGCGGGAGAAAGAGGGGGAUCUUCGGACCUCACGCUAUCAGAUGAGCCUAGGUCGGAUUAGCUAGUUGGUGGGGUAAAGGCCUACCAAGGCGACGAUCCGUAACUGGUCUGAGAGGAUGAUCAGGCACACUGGAACUGAGACACGGUCCAGACUCCUACGGGAGGCAGCAGUGGGGAAUAUUGGACAAUGGGCGAAAGCCUGAUCCAGCCAUGCCGCGUGUGUGAAGAAGGUCUUCGGAUUGUAAAGCACUUUAAGUUGGGAGGAAGGGCAGUAAGUUAAUACCUUGCUGUUUUGACGUUACCAACAGAAUAAGCACCGGCUAACUUCGUG
rnacentral:rRNA from 1 species